GCGAACGGGUGAGGAAUGCAUGGGUAACCUACCCUCGAGUGGGGAAUAACUAGCCGAAAGGUUAGCUAAUACCGCAUACGUUUCCGGGACCUCGGUUCCGGAAAGAAAGCAAUACCGUGGGUAUUGCGCUCAUGGAUGGGCUCAUGUCCUAUCAGCUUGUUGGUGAGGUAACGGCUCACCAAGGCUUCGACGGGUAGCUGUCUGAGAGGACGAUCAGCCACACUGGCACUGCGACACGGGCCAGACUCCUACGGGAGGCAGCAGUAAGGAAUAUUGCGCAAUGGACGAAAGUCUGACGCAGCGACGCCGCGUGGGGGAUGAAGGUCUUCGGAUUGUAAACCCCUUUCGGGAGGGAAGAGGAGUGGGUAACCACUGGACGGUCCUCCAGAACAGCCACGGCU
rnacentral:rRNA from 1 species